UACGUAUGGUGCAAGCGUUAUCCGGAUUUACUGGGUGUAAAGGGUGCGUAUGUGGCGUGGCAAGUCAGAAGUGAAAACUAUGGGCUCAACCCAUAGACUGUUUUUGAAACUGUCAUGCUGGAGUGCAGGAGAGGAAAGCGGAAUUCCUAGUGUAGCGGUGAAAUGCGUAGAUAUUAGGAAGAACACCAGUGGCGAAGGCGGCUUUCUGGACUGUUACUGACACUGAGGCACGAAAGCGUGGGGAGCAAAC
rnacentral:rRNA from 1 species